AUUUCCGCUAUGGGGUAAAACUCACACUCCAGAUCAGUAACAUCAGCAUGUCACAGAAUCCUGAAUUAGUGAAUGAUACCUACAACCAAGUGGAGAGCAUCAUCAACAAUGUUUUAAACACACUUCUAAAUGAACCUGCUGCCAAACCGUUCGAACCCCAGAGCUCUCUCUUCAUGAGUUCAGGAAACCAGGUUAAUGGUGACAUGACAUACCACUUCCAAGAUGGAGACACUAUAACACCAGCAUCUUUUCUGAAUGAGCUUAAAGC